rnacentral:rRNA from 1 species
GAUGAACGCUGGCGGCGUGCCUAAUACAUGCCAGUCGAGCGAACGGACGAGAAGCUUGCUUUUCUGAUGUUAGCGGCGGACGGGUGAGUAACACGUGGAUAACCUACCUAUAAGACUGGGAUAACUUCGGGAAACCGGAGCUAAUACCGGAUAAUAUUUUGAACCGCAUGGUUCAAAAGUGAAAGACGGUCUUGCUGUCACUUAUAGAUGGAUCCGCGCUGCAUUAGCUAGUUGGUAAGGUAACGGCUUACCAAGGCAACGAUGCAUAGCCGACCUGAGAGGGUGAUCGGCCACACUGGAACUGAGACACGGUCCAGACUCCUACGGGAGGCAGCAGUAGGGAAUCUUCCGCAAUGGGCGAAAGCCUGACGGAGCAACGCCGCGUGAGUGAUGAAGGUCUUCGGAUCGUAAAACUCUGUUAUUAGGGAAGAACAUAUGUGUAAGUAACUGUGCACAUCUUGACGGUACCUAAUCAGAAAGCUACGGCUAACUACGUG